rnacentral:rRNA from 1 species
ACUCAAAUGAAUUGACGGGGACCCGCACAAGCGGUGGAUGAUGUGGAUUAAUUCGAUGCAACGCGAACAACCUUACCUACCCUUGACAUGUGAGGAACCCUGCUGAGAGGCGGGGGUGCCCGAAAGGGAGCCUCAACACAGGUGCUGCAUGGCUGUCGUCAGCUCGUGUCGUGAGAUGUUGGGUUAAGUCCCGCAACGAGCGCAACCCUUGUCCCUAGUUGCUACCGCGAGGAGCACUCUAGGGAGACUGCCGGUGACAAACCGGAGGAAGGUGGGGAUGACGUCAAGUCCUCAUGGCCCUUAUGGGUAGGGCUUCACACGUCAUACAAUGGCCGGUACAGAGGGCAGCCAACCCGCGAGGGGGAGCCAAUCCCAGAAAGCCGGUCGUAGUCCGGAUUGCAGUCUGCAACUCGACUGCAUGAAGUCGGAAUCGCUAGUAAUCGCGGAUCAGCAUGUCGCGGUGAAUACGUUCCCGGGUCUUGUACACACCGCCCGU